CACUGGAACUGAGACACGGUCCAGACUCCUACGGGAGGCAGCAGUGGGGAAUAUUGCACAAUGGGCGCAAGCCUGAUGCAGCCAUGCCGCGUGUAUGAAGAAGGCCUUCGGGUUGUAAAGUACUUUCAGUAGGGAGGAAGGUGGUUAAGCUAAUACCUUAACCAUUUGACGUUACCUACAGAAGAAGCACCGGCUAACUCCGUGCCAGCAGCCGCGGUAAUACGGAGGGUGCAAGCGUUAAUCGGA
rnacentral:rRNA from 1 species